GUGACAUUAAAGGCAGGGACUGGAGCAAUGUAACUGCAAGCCAAGGAAUGCCGAAUUUGGAUAGCCACCAUCAUGAACUAGGACGAGGCAUGAAGGAUUCCACCCAGAGCCUCACAUUUGUAAGAGUGCAUUUCUGUGGUUUUAAGCCACUCAGUGUGUGGUUGCAGCAGCCCUAGGAAGCCAGUAAAGUUGCUUCCGGCUUCAAAUCCAGCAAGACAAGGAAGGCAAAUGCCCAUUAGAGUAAUAUUACGCUGAGCAUUAGGGGCUUGAGCAAGAGUGGCUUCGCUGAAGAUAAGGCUGAGCCAGGACGGAGUGAGUGGAACAGUGAACAAAGACAGGUGAGCAAGUGGAGGCUGUCUCUGUAGAGCAGAGGUCCCCAAACUUUGUGUGCUCACAUCAGCUCUAAGAAGACCUGGGAGCUGUGUGUCCCAACACAGUUAUCUCAUCUAUUCACAUUCUUCAACAAUGCAUAGAUCUUUUAUCUCAUCAUACAUAUGCCAUGGUUGCACAUUCAAUUCAUGUGCUGAGGAAGAUCAGGUCUCAGUCUCCAGUCUUCCCUCCUGAGUUCCAGAUACAUAUGGAUGUCUUCUAUACCUCCACAUUCCACCCAAACCUCACUAUUCACAACUGUCAGCAUGGCCAUCAGCUCCUGUCCUUAACCUCAAAAUCUCUGAUGAGUGCCACAUAGGCAAGUCAACACAUUUUUGUUAAAUGCAUGAAAGGAAGAAUGAGUAUUGUUAUGUACCAGAAACGGUAUUGGAGAAGUGACUUGACAUGAGCCUGUAUUGAUGCCACCAUGCAACUUCUUCGGACAUUCAAAGGACUUGUUAAAAGCCCUGUGGCAUUUGCAAAACGCUAGUUCAUUCAGAAUACUCCGAGGUGCUUGAGAGCAUUGACUCUAGGCAAUACAGCAAAGAUGAAGAUGUUGCCUUCUAAGCUCCUCUCAUCCAUUUCUGUGUGACCACCUCCCCUUUGGCAUCUUUUCUUUUCCUCUAGGGGACUUUUGGCUCCACCUGCUCAUAUCCUCAU
rnacentral:lncRNA from 10 species